UGGGAAUUUUUCACAAAUGGCCCAAGCCCGAUUCAGCCAUGCCGCGGGUUUGAAGAAGGGCUUCGGGUUGUUAAGUACCUUCAGUCGGGAGGGAGGUGGUAAGGUUAAUAACCUUAUCCAUUGACGUUACCGACCAAAGAAGCACCGGCUAACCUCGUGCCAGCAGCCGCGGUAAUACGGAGGGUGCAAGCGUUAAUCGGAAUUACUGGGCGUAAAGCGCACGCAGGCGGUUUGUUAAGUCAGAUGUGAAAUCCCCGGGCUCAACCUGGGAACUGCAUCUGAUACUGGCAAGCUUGAGUCUCGUAGAGGGGGGUAGAAUUCCAGGUGUAGCGGUGAAAUGCGUAGAGAUCUGGAGGAAUACCGGUGGCGAAGGCGGCCCCCUGGACGAAGACUGACGCUCAGGUGCGAAAGCGUGGGGAGCAAACAGG
rnacentral:rRNA from 1 species